rnacentral:rRNA from 1 species
CGCGUAGGCGGCUUGGUAAGUUAAAUGUGAAAGCCCGGGGCUUAACCCCGGAAGUGCAUUUAAAACUGCCUGGCUUGAGUAUGGGAGAGGGAAGUGGAAUUCCUGGUGUAGAGGUGAAAUUCGUAGAUAUCAGGAGGAACACCGGUGGCGAAGGCGACUUCCUGGACCGACACUGACGCUGAGACACGAAAGCGUGGGGAGCAAACAGGAUUAGUUACCCUGGUAGUCC